rnacentral:rRNA from 1 species
UACGUAGGCAGCGAGCGUUGUUCGGAAUUACUGGGCGUAAAGGGCCAGUAGGCGGCCAACUAAGUCGGAUGUGAAAUCCCCAGGCUCAACUUGGGAACUGCAUCCGAUACUGGAUGGCUUGAAUUCGGGAGAGGGAUGCAGAAUUCCAGGUGUAGCGGUGAAAUGCGUAGAUAUCUGGAGGAAUACCGGUGGCGAAGGCGGCAUCCUGGACCGACAUUGACGCUGAACGGCGAAAGCUAGGGGAGCAAACGGG